rnacentral:rRNA from 1 species
AUUGAACGCUGGCGGUAUGCCUAACACAUGCAAGUCGAACGGCAGCACAGUAAGAGCUUCCGCUUACGGGUGGCGGGUUGCGUACGGCUGAGGAAUACAUCCGAAUCUACUGUUUAGUGGGGGAUAACGUGGGGAAACUUACGCUAAUACCUCAUACGACCUGCGGGUGACAGCAGGGGAUCUUCUGACCUUGCGCGAUUGAAUGAGCCGAUGUCGGAUUAGCUAGUUGGCGGGGUAAAGGCCCACCAAGGCGACGAUCCGUAGCUGGUCUGAGAGGAUGAUCAGCCAAACUUGAACUGAGACACGGUCCCGAAUCCUACGGGAGGGAGCAGUGGGGAAUAUUGGACAAUGGGCGCAAGCCUGAUCCAGCCAUACCGCGUGGGUGAAGAAGGCCUUCGGGUUGGAAAGCCCUUUUGUUGGGAAAGAAAAGCAGCAGGUUAAAACCCCGCGGUUCUGACGGUACCCAAAGAAUAAGCACCGGCUAACUUCGUG